rnacentral:rRNA from 1 species
UACGUAGGGGGCAAGCGUUGUCCGGAAUCAUUGGGCGUAAAGAGCGUGUAGGCGGCCCGAUAAGUCCGCUGUGAAAGUCCAGGGCUCAACCCUGGAAUGCCGGUGGAUACUGUCGGGCUAGAGUCCGGAAGAGGCGAGUGGAAUUCCUGGUGUAGCGGUGAAAUGCGCAGAUAUCAGGAGGAACACCAAUGGCGAAGGCAGCUCGCUGGGACGGUACUGACGCUGAGACGCGAAAGCGUGGGGAGCAAACAGG